UGAUCUGGCAAUGGGAAAAGAGACACUUUGUUAGUGGUUUUGCUCUUAUAUCUGACAGGGGCAGAGCAAAUGGAAGUCCUUUGUUCAUCCUAGCUAAUGACUGGCUUAGUGGCCAAAGUUGUUGUAUGCCUAGCACACAUAA